GAGAGAGAAGGAAAGCGAGAGAGAGAGAGAGAGAGAGAAGGAAAGCGAGAGAGAGAGAGAGAGAGAAAGCAAGAGAGAGCGAGAGAAGGAAAGCGAGUGAGAGAGAGAGAGAGAAGGAAAGCGAGAGGGCAGGAGGGAGAGGGAAAGCGAGAGGGCAGGAGGGAAAGGGAAAGCGAGAGAAGGAAAGUGAGAGGGCAGGAGGGAGAGAGGGAGCGGGAGAAGGAAAGCGAGAGGGCAGGAGGGAGAGAGAGCGAGAGAAGGAAGCGAGAGGGCAGGAGGAAGAGAGAAAGCGAGAGAAGGAAAGUGAGAGGGCAGGAGGGAAGAGAAAGAGAGCGAGAGAAGGAAGCGAGAGGGAGGGAGAGGGUAGAGUGGACUUAUGGCUCUGGCAAAUUUGGGGCCUUUUUUCAGAGCCGUUCAGAGAGUCAAAUUAUUGGACUGACAGCCCAUCCCUUUGGUGAAGGUGAAAAUAAGAAAAUGAAAAGGGCCAUGUGCUGAGAGAGGGAUGCAGCUUGAACCCCAACAUCUUCAACAUACUGUCACGAAUCCCGCCGAAGAUGGUGCCUCUUCCUGUUCGGGUGGCGCUCGGCGGUCGUCGUCGCCGGCCUACUAGCUGCCACCGAUCCCCUUUUCUGUUUCAUUUAGUUGUGUCUGAUUAGUUGCACCUGUUUUGUGUUUAGGUUGUGAUUGUGGGCUAUAUGAAACCCAGUAAGCCCGCUGGCUUUUGUGCUUGUUUCUCUGUUCGUUUUGUGGAUGUGAUAUUUUCUGUAUUUCUCCGGACUGUUUGUGUCCUGUUUUUGGGCCGGUCAUUGUAUGCGCCUGGUGUUUUGGCGUGACCUACUUUUUCCCAGAAUAAAUACAGUUGUCCUUUA